AGCCAGACAGAUUUUACCCUGUAACAUUCCUUUUUAAUGAAUUCAGCUGUAUGCUGUAAGCACAAAGAUUUCUAUGUUUUAUGAAGAAUACAAAAAUAAACCAACAGGUGUUUCUUAACCAGGGUGUUUGUAAACAGGGCCUGCGUGGAACAAUCUACAGGGACAGUGUAGUUAAUUCAUCAGAGAAGACGAAAACAGCCAUCAGUUCAAAUUUGGCAGGAAGCACAGAGUGAGUGGCCUGUUGUUUUAGACUGAAUUGAAAGUUUUUAUUGCUCCAAAUUAACCAUGCAAAUACUGUCCAGAAAGUAUACUUCUCCUCCCAUUUAGAGAAAAAAAAAACUAGUGCAAAACACAAUGCUGGCACUUUGUUUAAUAUUUUAUUGGUUGAAAUGUUUGUACUUGCCAUGCUGUUGGAUUUGGCUCAGAAACACACAUACUUUUGAUGCUGGAAACUAAUCAUCCAUCUGACAAUAUCAUAUGUACCAAAGACUUAUUCCACGGCUGCACUUGGGUUUGUUGCCCAGACCUCCAAGUUUGGGCUUUAACCUGGUGUACAGAUGUGAGUGAGGCUGAAAUCACAGAAAAUCAGUAAGAGGCGAGCCAUCAAAAAGCAAACAAACAAACAAUGGGGUAAAUGACCCCACCUCCUGUAUUUGCCUUUGACUGAUGGAGCUGAGUUUAGCUACAAACACCAGCUCCCAGUAGUCUUUGUGUCCAUCAUGCAGUCUGGCUGAUGAGCUGACCUUAAUAUCCAGGAGGGUGCCUUCUGUCUAGCUGCCAGCAGAGCUGGAUGGCUGUAGGCAACACUCGAGGCGAGGGACACCUUGCUUGGUUCUCAAAUGGACAUUUUUCAAGUUUUUGUGUGCUUUGUGCACCGCUGGUCCCAGCCAGCGCUCUCAGCCAGAGCUUCUGCAGCCCAACCUGAAUUCUGUCUUCGGGUCCCUCCCUGCGGGUGCUUCCUUGGCUGCAGUGCUUGCGGUGCCCUCGGUGAGCGAAGCUGUGUGUUGGCUGGGACCCCUGCUUGCCAUGCUAACGAGACCGUCCCUUUCUGCCAUGCUUCUUGCCAGUGCCCAGCAGCAUUUCCCUCAUUACCAGGUGAAGUCUGUCAGACAGUUUUAUUGCCUGGCCUCAAGAAGGGUUAGCUAACUACCACCCUUAAGAAAAAAGUGCUCAACUAAAACCAAGGAACCUACCUGUUUGGGCAGAAAGACAAGUGACUUCCAAAGACGCUAUUUAUAAACUAUACAAAUAAAGGCUUUGUGUAGUGAUUA